CUAGAUAGAAUACUGCUAGGGCUACAGGAAAGUUUCAUUUAAAUCUGAUAUUACUUGAUAUAAGUAUUGCUGUAAUUUCAUUGAAUUCCUCUCAUCUGACGAGUAGCAGGUGAUAAAUCCGGGAAUUAUUUGAUGUCCUUACAUUGAGGAUCUGUAAGGGGGGAUUUCUGGUUUGCUUGCAUUACCAAAUUUUUUAUGUAUCCUUUAGCAAAUUUGGCUAUUGUGUCUCUUGGGGAUGUGGGAGAAAUAUUUUGAGGUUUGAAGAGACGAUGGAAUCUUUCAAAUGGGUGGCCACCCAGUUGUUGAGAUGGUAUUAAUAAUGAGAAAAGAGAUCUUAGAUAUUGCUCAAAAUGAUCUUGUGAAACUGACUCAGGUAUUCCUCUUAUUUUUAUAUUAUUUCUUCUGGAU